rnacentral:miRNA from 1 species
CGUGCAUGUGUGCGCGUGUGUGUGUGCGUGUGUGUGCACGCGUGCACAUGCGCACACUCACACAUGCAUGCU